CAGUUAUUAAUCAUUGUAACACAAAUCCGUGUUCUGGACGUGGAAUAUGUCAUAACAGUUUGACUGGAUUUACAUGUACAUGUAAUGCAGCAUAUACAGGCUCAAGAUGUCAAACAGUUAAAACUACAACUGCAGCACCUACAACUACUGUAACACCAAGCCAGACACAGUUAUCUAGCUGCAGGGAUGACCCACGUGUCAAGUGUUCUCCUUCCAUAUGUAGCGUGGGUGCUUUGAAUACAUACUGUCCAUUGACAUGUAAAGUUUGUACGCCAUGUUCUGAUAGUAAUCUAGUUAAUUGUAAAAUCACAGCUGUUUGCAAUGAUACUACAUUGAAGAAUUACUGUAAAGCAACAUGUGGUCUGUGUUCAAGACAAAAUCCGUUAACAAUACCGACAUCUUGGAUUCAAAUAAGGCCAACACCAACACCAACACGAUGGUUACAUGUAGGAGGAAAAUAACACAAUAAUUAUGCAGAGAAUCUGUCAAACAAAGCAAUAUCUACCUCAUUAUAUUUAAAAUUAAAUUAUAUAUCGCAAAUGUA